UUCCUGCCUUAAUCAAUGAUGAAACAUAGUUUUCGCAUGUCAGACUUCAGAGAUAGGUCGUAUCAAUGAGAAGAUAUUUCAUUUAUUCUGAGCCAGGCA